rnacentral:rRNA from 1 species
UACGAAGGGUGCAAGCGUUACCCGGAAUUACUGGGCGUAAAGGGUGCGUAGGUGGUUGUUUAAGUCUGUUGUGAAAGCCCCGGGCUCAACCUGGGAAUGGCAAUGGAUACUGGACAGCUAGAGUGCGGUAGAGGGUAGUGGAAUUCCCGGUGUAGCAGUGAAAUGCGUAGAGAUCGGGAGGAACACCAGUGGCGAAGGCGGCUACCUGGACCAGCACUGACACUGAAGCACGAAAGCGUGGGGAGCAAACAGG